rnacentral:rRNA from 1 species
CCUACGGGAGGCAGCAGUGGGGAAUUUUGGACAAUGGACGCAAGUCUGAUCCAGCCAUGCCGCGUGCGGGAAGAAGGCCUUCGGGUUGUAAACCGCUUUUGUCAGGGAAGAAACGGGUUUCUCUAAUACAGAGACCUAAUGACGGUACCUGAAGAAUAAGCACCGGCUAACUACGUGCCAGCAGCCGCGGUAAUACGUAGGGUGCAAGCGUUAAUCGGAAUUACUGGGCGUAAAGCGUGCGCAGGCGGUUAUGCAAGACAGAGGUGAAAUCCCCGGGCUCAACCUGGGAACUGCCUUUGUGACUGCAUAGCUAGAGUACGGUAGAGGGGGAUGGAAUUCCGCGUGUAGCAGUGAAAUGCGUAGAUAUGCGGAGGAACACCGAUGGCGAAGGCAAUCCCCUGGACCUGUACUGACGCUCAUGCACGAAAGCGUGGGGAGCAAACAGGAUUAGAUACCCUGGUAGUCCACGCCCUAAACGAUGUCAACUGGUUGUUGGGAGGGUUUCUUCUCAGUAACGAAGCUAACGCGUGAAGUUGACCGCCUGGGGAGUACGGCCGCAAGGUUGAAACUCAAAGAUAGUAGCGUGAGACGUGCGACGGACGCACAGGGAGGUUAGG